rnacentral:rRNA from 1 species
GACGAACGCUAGUUCUGCGCGCUUAACACAUGCAAGUCGAGCGGAAAGGCCCUUCGGGGUACUCGAGCGGCGAACGGGUGAGUAACACGUGAGCAACCUACCCUUGGCUCUGGGAUAACCCCGGGAAACCGGGGCUAAUACCGGAUACCCACGCACCUCCGCAUGGGGGUGCGUGAAAAGUUUUUCGGCUGGGGAUGGGCUCGCGGCCUAUCAGCUUGUUGGCGGGGUAACGGCCCACCAAGGCUUCGACGGGUAGCCGGCCUGAGAGGGCGACCGGCCACACUGGGACUGAGAUACGGCCCAGACUCCUACGGGAGGCAGCAGUGGGGAAUAUUGCACAAUGGGCGCAAGCCUGAUGCAGCGACGCAGCGUGAGGGACGAAGGCCUUCGGGUUGUAAACCUCUUUCGGCAGGGACGAAGCGAAAGUGACGGUACCUGAAGAAGAAGCGCCGGCCAACUACGUGCCAGCAGCCGCCGUAAGAC